rnacentral:rRNA from 1 species
GUGGGGAAUUUUGGACAAUGGGGGCAACCCUGAUCCAGCCAUUCCGCGUGAGUGAAGAAGGCCUUCGGGUUGUAAAGCUCUUUCGGCAGGGACGAAACGGUGGGGGCUAAUAUCCUCUGCUAAUGACUGUACCUGAAGAAGAAGCACCGGCUAACUACGUGCCAGCAGCCGCGGUAAUACGUAGGGUGCGAGCGUUAAUCGGAAUUACUGGGCGUAAAGCGUGCGCAGGCGGCGACACAAGACAGAUGUGAAAUCCCCGGGCUCAACCUGGGAACUGCGUUUGUGACUGUGUUGCUAGAGUGCGGCAGAGGGGGGUGGAAUUCCACGUGUAGCAGUGAAAUGCGUAGAGAUGUGGAGGAACACCGAUGGCGAAGGCAGCCCCCUGGGUCGACACUGACGCUCAUGCACGAAAGCGUGGGGAGCAAACAGGAUUAGAAACCCCGGUAGUCC